UACGUAGGGUGCGAGCGUUAAUCGGAAUUACUGGGCGUAAAGCGUGCGCAGGCGGUUUUGUAAGCCAGAUGUGAAAGCCCCGGGCUCGACCUGGGAAUGGCAUUUGGGACUGCAAGGCUUGAGUGCGGCAGAGGAGACUGGAAUUCCUGGUGUAGCAGUGAAAUGCGUAGAUAUCAGGAGGAAUACCGAUGGCGAAGGCAGGUCUCUGGGCUGACACUGACGCUCAUGCACGAAAGCGUGGGGAGCAAACAGG
rnacentral:rRNA from 1 species